rnacentral:tRNA from 1 species
GCAGGUGAAGUGUUGCGGUGACACACCGGUGCGCCACACCGGAGUCGGAGGGUUCAACUCCCCCCAUCUGCU